rnacentral:rRNA from 1 species
UACGAAGGGGGCUAGCGUUGCUCGGAAUCACUGGGCGUAAAGCGCACGUAGGCGGAUUUCUAAGUCAGGGGUGAAAUCCUGGAGCUCAACUCCAGAACUGCCUUUGGAUACUGGGAAUCUCGAGUCCGGGAGAGGUGAGUGGAACUGCGAGUGUAGAGGUGAAAUUCGUAGAUAUUCGCAAGAACACCAGUGGCGAAGGCGGACUCACUGGCCCGGUACUGACGCUGAGGUGCGAAAGCG